AUCAUUGAAAAUUUAAAACAUGAUGUUGCCCUACAAUGAACCACUACGCCUUGGGCAGAGCGUAGGGCUUUCAUGCAAAAUGAAAAACAGAAGAAAAAUUACUCUGUCUGAAGAGUAACUUGGACUAUUUCUUCAGCAGUCCAGUUGUUGAUCUUCUCCCCUGGAGCACACGGGCACACCCAAUUAUCCAUAUCACAAUCACUGU
rnacentral:lncRNA from 1 species